GUAUCCGGAAUGAUUGGGCGUAAAGGGUGCGUAGGUGGCAGAACAAGUCUGGAGUAAAAGGUAUGGGCUCAACCCGUACUGGCUCUGGAAACUGUUCAGCUAGAGAACAGAAGAGGACGGCGGAACUCCAUGUGUAGCGGUAAAAUGCGUAGAUAUAUGGAAGAACACCGGUGGCGAAGGCGGCCGUCUGGUCUGUUGCUGACACUGAAGCACGAAAGCGUGGGGAGCAAAUAGGAUUAGAUACCCUAGUAGUCCACGCCGUAAACGAUGAGAACUAGGUGUUGGGGGAAUAACUCAGUGCCGCAGUUAACGCAAUAAGUUCUCCGCCUGGGGAGUAUGCACGCAAGUGUGUAACUCAAGGGAAUUGACGGGGGCCCGCACAAGCGGUGGAGUAUGUGGUUUAAUUCGAAGCAACGCGAANAA
rnacentral:rRNA from 1 species